UACGGAAGGCAGCAGGGGGAAUAUUGCACAAUGGGCGCAAGCCUGAUGCAGCCAUGCCGCGUGUAUGAAAAAGGCCUUCGGGUUGUAAAGUACUUUCAGUCGUGAGGAAGGUGUUAAGGUUAAUAACCUUAGCAAUUGACGUUAGCGACAGAAGAAGCACCGGCUAACUCCGUGCCAGCAGCCGCGGUAAUACGGAGGGUGCGAGCGUUAAUCGGAAUUACUGGGCGUAAAGGGCACGCAGGCGGUUAAUUAAGUUGGAUGUGAAAUCCCCGGGCUUAACCUGGGAAUGGCAUUCAAGACUGGUUAGCUAGAGUCUUGUAGAGGGGGUAGAAUUCCGAUGUGUAGCGGUGAAAUGCGUAGAGAUGUGGAGGAAUACCGGUGGCGAAGGCGGCCCCUGGACAAAGACUGACGCUCAUGUGCGAAAGCGUGGGGAGCAAACAGGGAUUAGAUACC
rnacentral:rRNA from 1 species